GAAGGGCCCAAGCGUAGCGCGGUAUCACUGGGGCUUAAAGGGGUGCGUAGGCGGACCCGCAAGUAUCUUGUGAAAGCCCUCGGCUCAACCGAGGGAAUUGCUUGGUAAACUGCGGGUCUUGAGCUCGGCAGAGGCGGUCGGAACGCUAGGUGGAGCGGUGAAAUGCGUAGAUAUCUAGCGGAACGCCAAAGGUGAAGACAGACCGCUGGGCCGAUGCUGACGCUGAGGCACGAAAGCGUGGGUAGCGAACGGGAUUAGAUACCCCGGUAGUCCACGCCCUAAACGAUGUGCACUAGAUGCUGGAGGUGCUGACACCAUCAGCGUCGAAGCAAAAGUACUAAGUGCACCGCCUGGGGAGUACGGUCGCAAGACUA
rnacentral:rRNA from 1 species